rnacentral:lncRNA from 1 species
GCAAGGCGGCCCGGCUGAGUGGUAAAAGGCAGGUGGGCUCAGGUGACGCCUGGAAGCGACUCAGCCUUUCUCAGCCUCAGCGCCCUCCUCUAUAAAAUGCAGAUACUAGUGGAAGAUGCCCCGUAAGUUUGCUGGGAGGAUUCAGUCAAAUUGAGUACUAGCAGUGUGGCCCUGCAAGGAACGGGUGGCUACUGGUCCAGGAUCCUGGGAAUUCGCGGUGGUUCCCCGCCCCCCAGCCUCCAUCAGUCACCUCCCUGCCUUCACAAAGCAGCAGAGUGAAAAUAUAGUGGAUAUGUUAGAACAUGAGUCAAACCGAGUCACUUCCUUGCUCUCACCUCCAGUGGCGUCCUAGCUCUUGUACAUAAAAUCCCAAACCCUCGCCAUGACCUACAAAGCCACAUGAUCUGGACUGUGGCUCUCUCUCCAACCUGAAGUCCCACCACCACACACUGCACUCCAGCCUAGAAUCCCUGAAGUUCCACAGAUGAUGAGGAAGAGAUGAGGGCCAGGUGACCAGGGGGCCCAGUGUCCUGGGGAGGUGCCAAGGGUCUGGGUUGGGGGUGGCAAUGGGACCUGGCAGGCACUUUCUGCUUCCACCAGGUGACAGCUACCACUGAGUCUAAAACCAAAUUCGUCACUCCCUCCCAAAGCUUACUCCUGCGCAUUUCAUUGCUUAAAGUUACCUUUAACUUCCUAAUCACUCAGGCU